rnacentral:rRNA from 1 species
AGUGAACGCUGGCGGUAGGCCUAACACAUGCAAGUCGAACGGCAGCACAGUAAGAGCUUGCUCUUACGGGUGGCGAGUGGCGGACGGGUGAGGAAUACAUCGGAAUCUACUUUUUCGUGGGGGAUAACGUAGGGAAACUUACGCCAAUACCGCAUACGACCUACGGGUGAAAGCAGGGGAUCUUCGGACCUUGCGCGAUUGAAUGAGCCGAUGUCGGAUUAGCUAGUUGGCGGGGUAAAGGCCCACCAAGGCGACGAUCCGUAGCUGGUCUGAGAGGAUGAUCAGCCACACUGGAACUGAGACACGGUCCAGACUCCUACGGGAGGCAGCAGUGGGGAAUAUUGGACAAUGGGCGCAAGCCUGAUCCAGCCAUACCGCGUGGGUGAAGAAGGCCUUCGGGUUGUAAAGCCCUUUUGUUGGGAAAGAAAGGCAGCAGGUUAAUACCCCGCUGUUCUGACGGUACCCAAAGAAUAAGCACCGGCUAACUUCGUG